UACGGAGGGGGCUAGCGUUGUUCGGAAUUAUUGGGCGUAAAGCGCUUGUAGGCGGCCUGUUAAGUCCCGUGUGAAAUCCCCUGGCUUAACCAGGGAAGUGCGCGGGAAACUGGCGGGCUUGAGUGCCGGAGAGGGUCGCGGAAUUCCCGGUGUAGAGGUGAAAUUCGUAGAUAUCGGGAGGAACACCAGUGGCGAAGGCGGCGACCUGGACGGACACUGACGCUGAGACGCGAAAGCGUGGGGAGCAAACAGG
rnacentral:rRNA from 1 species